ACGGCCACAUCACGUUGAAAUACGGAUUCCCGUACGAUCACCGAAGGUAAGCAACAUCGAGACUGGUCAGUAUCUAGAUGGGUGAUCACUUGGGAAUACCAGGUUG